rnacentral:rRNA from 1 species
GUAGGGAAUAUUGCGCAAUGGACGAAAGUCUGACGCAGCGACGCCGCGUGAGUGAUGAAGGCCUUAAGGUCGUAAAGCUCUGUUGAAUGGGAAGAAAAAAAUGACGGUACCAUUCGAGGAAGGACCGGCUAACUUCGUGCCAGCAGCCGCGGUAAUACGAGGGGUCCUAGCGUUGUUCGGAAUCAUUGGGCGUAAAGGGUGUGUAGGUGGCCACGUAAGUCAGGUGUGAAAGCCCCGGGCUCAACCCGGGAAGUGCACUUGAUACUGCGUGGCUUGAGUACCGAAGAGGGUAGUGGAAUACCAGGUGUAGUGGUGAAAUACGUAGAUAUCUGGAGGAACACCGGUGGCGAAGGCGGCUACCUGGUCGAGUACUGACACUGAGACACGAAAGCAUGGGGAUCAAACAGGAUUAGAUACCCGGGUAGUCC